rnacentral:rRNA from 1 species
AUUGAACGCUGGCGGCAGGCCUAACACAUGCAAGUCGAGCGGAUGAAGGGAGCUUGCUCCUGGAUUCAGCGGCGGACGGGUGAGUAAUGCCUAGGAAUCUGCCUGGUAGUGGGGGAUAACGUCCGGAAACGGGCGCUAAUACCGCAUACGUCCUGAGGGAGAAAGUGGGGGAUCUUCGGACCUCACGCUAUCAGAUGAGCCUAGGUCGGAUUAGCUAGUUGGUGGGGUAAAGGCCUACCAAGGCGACGAUCCGUAACUGGUCUGAGAGGAUGAUCAGUCACACUGGAACUGAGACACGGUCCAGACUCCUACGGGAGGCAGCAGUGGGGAAUCUUGGACAAUGGGCGAAAGCCUGAUCCAGCCAUGCCGCGUGUGUGAAGAAGGUCUUCGGAUUGUAAAGCACUUUAAGUUGGGAGGAAGGGCGGUAAGUUAAUACCUUGCUGUUUUGACGUUACCAACAGAAUAAGCACCGGCUAACUUCGUG